GCACUGUUAGUUCAGUUCGGUAGAACGUGGGUCUCCAAAAACCGAUGUCGUACGUUCAAAUCCUACAUAGUAUG
rnacentral:tRNA from 1 species